AUUGAACGCUGGCGGCGUGCUUAACACAUGCAAGUCGAUCGGUAACGCGGGGGCAACCCUGGCGACGAGAGGCGGACGGGUGAGGAACGCUUGGGAAUCUGCCCUUCAGCGGGGGACAACCCGGGGAAACUCGGGCUAAUACCGCAUACGCUCCACGGAGGAAAGCCGGGGACCGCAAGGCCUGGCACUGAAGGAUGAGCCCAAGUCGGAUUAGCUAGUUGGCGGGGUAACGGCCCACCAAGGCGACGAUCCGUAGCUGGUCUGAGAGGACGAUCAGCCACACUGGGACUGAGACACGGCCCAGACUCCUACGGGAGGCAGCAGUGGGGAAUAUUGGACAAUGGGGGAAACCCUGAUCCAGCGACGCCGCGUGGGUGAAGAAGGCCUGCGGGUUGUAAAGCCCUUUCGGUAGGGACGAAAGCUUCCGACCCAACACGUCGGGAGGUUGACUUAACCUACAAAAGAAGCACCGGCUAACUCUGUGCCAGCCGCCGCGGUAACAC
rnacentral:rRNA from 1 species